AAAAAAAAAAAAAAAAAAAAAGAGGUGCAACACGAGGACUUCCCAAGAGGUCACCCAUCCUAGUACUACUCCCGCCCAAGCACGCUUAACUGCGGAGUUCUGAUGGGAUCCGGUGCAUUAGUGCUGGUAUGAUCGCACCUAUUAUAAUAUGCGCACAUAAUUAUCAUAUGCAUGUCUUGCGACGUAGGGUAAGUCGAGCUGCGAAUCCCUGCGGGGUCCGUGCGAGCUUGCCUAAAAUGAGGUCAUUGAGACUCGCUUUAACUAAACUGUGCAAGAUAGCGCCGUUUAAAGAACGAGGGUAAGCAAGACGUAAAAAAAAAAAAAUAGGUGCAACACGAGGACUUCCCAGGAGGUCACCCAUCCUGGUACUACUCUCGCCCAAGCACGCUUAACUGCGGAGUUCUGAUGGGAUUCGGUGCAUUAGUGCUGGUAUGAUCGCACCUAUUAAAAUAUGCGCACAUAAUUAUCAUAUGCAUGUCUCGCGACGUAGGGUAAGUCGAGCUGCGAAUCCCUGCGGGGCCCGUGCGAACUUGCCUAAAAUGAGGUCAUUGAGACUCGCUUUAGCUAAACUAUUCAAGAUAGCGCCGUUUAAAGAACGAGGGUAAGCACGACGUAAAAAAAUAAAAAAAAAAUAAAAAAUAAAAAAUAAAAAAUAAAAAGAGGUGCAACACGAGGACUUCCCAGGAGGUCACCCAUCCUAGUACUACUCUCGCCCAAACACGCUUAACUGCGGAGUUCUGAUGGGAUCCGGUGAAUUAGUGCUGGUAUGAUCGCACCUAUUAAAAUAUGCGCACAUAAUUAUCAUAUGCAUGUCUCGCGACGUAGGGUAAGUCGAGUUGCAAAUCCCUGCGGGGCCCGUGGGAGCUUGCCUAAAAUCAGGUCAUUCAGACUCGCUUUAACUAAACUGUGCAAGAUAGCGCCGUUUAAAGAACGAGGGUAAGCACGACGUAAA